GGAAGGACUGUAGUUCAGUGGGGGAGAAUUUGCCUUGUGUGCAGAAGGUCCCAGAUUCAAUCCCCUGGCAUCUCCA